AUUGGCACAGGAAACGUCCCGUAUUACUACUACGAUCAAAUUAACUCAAAUACACGAAGCUGCACUGCCGCAGCCCAUGUUGUUUUCGCCAUUGCAGUAAUUAAAGGAAUUUUGUUGCGUGUCAAAAUUAAAUUAGUAUGUGUGUGUGUACACACACACACAAACUCUUCUUCUACGUAGGAGUUUCAUGGAAAGUGCACCGCCUAUGAGGAAGCUACUGUUAUUUACCGUCUAACAACGAGGGUGGCAAAUUAAAGCUUUAAUUAAUGUAUGUUCCUCUAAUUUUUUGAAAUUUUGAAAGGUACUGUUGGUAGAAAAAUCCAAGCUAAGUACGUGUAAAUAUUGACUAUUGUCCCUCUUCAAUUCUAAGUUGCAUUAUGAAAUCAAUGAUUCAUUUUGGGUGAAGGAUAUCAUGGAAAAAGAGAAAAGUACACCACUUUCUGAGCCGAGUAAUACUGUAAUUGUCUGCUCAUUUUACGUUUCUUUCUUAAAUAUAUGAGAUACCUAUAUAUCAGUUCUUGUUCCUGUGAUCAAUUGGGUCUCUGAAACUGAGGCAGGGGAAGAAUUAUGUUCAUUGACUCAGUAUUAAUAUAGACCUUUGAAGUAUAGGAAAAUUAAAAAAAAAAGAUUUCAUAUUACACAUCAUAUUAUCAAUUAGGUCUCUCUUCUGAAUCCUUUGCUUUCCAGCUGAAGUUGUCCAUGAGAAAAGAACAUGUUCUUUUAUAUUUAGUUUUCAAAAUAGAUUACCCCUUGUGGGAUGGCUGCUAUUUUGCCAGAAUUUUAUUUUCAACUUUUUUAUUAUUAUUAUUAUUAUUAUUAUUAUUAUUAUUAAUUGGAUCCCCCUAUCUUACGUAAGAUAAGGAUUGCCUUAUUAUUAUUAUUAUUAUCAUUUUCAAUUUAAGUACUUAUCAUUCAUAUAUAUAAAUUGCCACUUUGCAACACACACACACACACGUUGAUGCAAACUGAAAAGCAGUGACCAAUUAUCAACUAAGUUAUUUUCCACAGAAGAAAUUCAUCAGUAUUAGAAGACUGAGCAGAUGUGUACGUACUUGCAGUGUGGAGGUUAUCAGCCUUACAAUCAUCUCCUAAUCCUUAUUGAAAAGUGUGCCAAAGGGAGCAAUAUUGAAACCGAGUAGGCAGUAGCAGUAUAUCAUCAGGAUAUAGCAGAAGCUUGGAUAAUUUAAAUGCAGUAAAAUAUACAUAAUAAGUGGGUGUAGGUCCCCAUCACUGUCAAUUAAGCACUGUCAAUUAAGUCUCUUUUACACACUGACAUUUCAGAAAAAUCAAUCACCGGCAGCCGGUGGCGAGUGUUGCUUUCAUCAAUUUGAACAUCUGAACUGAAGAUUUAUAUGCAUGUGUGAUGCAUCUGAAGGGUGGUUAAUUUUGUUACUUUGAGAGAGACUCAGCUGAAACAUUUAAAAUUAGAAAAAUAGAGGGAGGUUUUAUUAUGUAUCUGACAAAUGUCAUGUGAUUGUGGGGUUUCAUGGUUAUUUAUUUGAUUCGUCUUCCUCUUUUAAGAGAGUGGAAUUUUAGGGGAAAUGCAAGGGCUAACGCCCAUUAAUCCCUUCUUCUCCGAUGGGUCAAGGAGGAGAGUGGUUCAUGCACCUUGUUUAAGAAAUCAAAAUAUCCAUCUCUUCCAUCUUAGCCCUUCAAUUUUGUGGACCCAAAUCUCAUGAUGGAUCGAUGGAUUUUUGAGCUCUCAUCUUGUGCAUCUAUUGCUUUGACAUUUCAUUUUCAGUUUUAGAUUACAGAUCUAAUGGUUAAUAUGUUUCUGAAUUCUGAUUGGAGGUAGCCCCACAUAAUGGGCGGUCACUAUCAGAAAACCAUAAAUGAUUUUU
rnacentral:lncRNA from 1 species